UUUAAAUCUAGAUUUAUACUUAUCCUUAAUUGUCAUUAUAUUAUUAGGAAUAGGAUUAUAUUCCUAUAUAUAAUAUACGGGAGUUUUUAGAAAACCCAAGCCGUCAUCUAUCCUCUCUUCUCUCUUCCAUCUUCUAGCAAGAAAGACGUCCUUUUGCAAGGGAGCUAGCACCCCGGUGAGGACAUCGAUCAAAUCAAGAACCUCGUGUGGAUACCUAUAGAGGCCGGACGCGUGUGCGGCUUCAAGAGAACCGAAUUCCACGAUCAUCAAAUUGAGGGGAAGAUCUAUCCGCGAAAAAGGUAAAGAUUCGAUCUUGUUUUUCUUUUUUAAUCUUAAAACAUGAGGGAUCCUAAUUGCGUGGUUUUUGAGAUUAGAUCUCGAAAGUUUUUCAAAAUCAAAUUUGUUUGAUUUCUUUUUCCGCUGCGUUUUACCGUACGCAAUUUUCUAACAGUGGUAUCAGAGCCAUCCUCAUGUUUUUAAGAUUAAAAUUAUGAUUUUUGGGUAUUCUAAACCGUUUUUUUGCCGAGAAAACGAUUUAUCGAUCGUUUUUGGCUAAUUCGAAAAGAUCAAAGUGAUCAAUAAUUUAAUCGAACGGUUUCUUGUUUUCAAGCAACAUAAAAAAAAAAUAAUAAAAAAAAAAAAUUUACUGUAGCA
rnacentral:lncRNA from 1 species